CCUGGGGAAAGUCCCCGGACACUAGGGCAGAGAGUGCCAGCCGUAGACGGCAGAACC
rnacentral:RNase_MRP_RNA from 1 species